CUGGUAGCUCAGUCGGUAGAGCAGAGGACUGAAAAUCCUUGUGUCGGUGGUUCGAUUCCGCCCCA
rnacentral:tRNA from 1 species